AAAUCUGCAAAGUAUUGAGAAAAAGACUUCGUUUAAUUAUUAUUGAUCAAAUUUUCAUUUUCAAAAAAUAAAUUUUUAUUGUUUCAAUUUUAGACGCUUUUAUAUUUUUCGUGAUUGAAAAAUUCUCGUAGAAAUUGGACAGAAGUUUAAUCUAACCUCGUAGUUUUUCGAGGGAAAAUAUCGGUGGAGAAACGGUACAUUUCAAACGAGCGAACGAGUGUUGUAGGACGAGAACCAUUGGCCUAUUGUGAGGAAAUUGUUCGUUACGGACAGUAGUAUUUUAGUUGUUUGGUACGAAACGAUGAUACCGGUGUGCAUCGCUAGAAUUUCACCGAAACAAUUCCUGUGUAUGACGUGUAAAGGGAUUCUGGUAAAUGGCUAUUUUCAAAUCAAUCACCUGGCACCCGUUUCAUUCAGUUUGUGGGACAAACAAUGUUGUCUGGAUUUGUCUUCGACGGUUCGUGCGGUUUUUUGAUAUAUGAUAUAUAUAGAUAUAUGUAUA